AUAAAGCUGGCCACACCUCGAAAGGCUGCCCGAAUCUAUUCAGUGAAUUGACGGAAGAUGGAAAGCUGCAUGGCAAUACAUUCUGGAAGCUGUGACAUGCGAUGAAAACGAACUGUUUAAGGGCAUCAUCUGUGGGGAACGCUUUAACAAUUUUGUUAAAGUUGUCCUUCAGGUUACAGGAAAAGAUGUACCUCAAUACAUAACACCAUUCGAAGAAGCCGGCCUGCGUCAACUACUACUUCAAAACAUUAAAAAUUCUGGCUACAGAAAACCAACACCUAUUCAGAAAGCUUCAGUUGCAGGCGGCGUACUUGGUACCGGUUUUGAACAUAUUGUUAGAACAAGGUGUUGCUGCUGCGUCUCGUGCCAUGGGGCAAAAGCCAGAAGUUGUAAUUGUCGCACCCACUCGUGAAUUGGCCAUUCAAAUUCACCGCGAGGCGUGUAAAUUCUCCUACAGUUCGGUUUUAAAGUUUGUGAUUAUAUAUGGAGGAACUGUCACGAGCCAUCAGCGGUCAAAUCUUCAAGCUGGGUGCAAUAUUCUUGUCGCGACUGCGGGGCGAUUCAAGGAUUUUCUCGACGGUGGAGUAUUUGACAUCUCAGGGGUGAGGUUUUAAAUUUUGGACGAAGCUGAUCGAAUGCUUGAUAUGGGUUUCGGCCCGAAUGUUGACAAAAUUGUCAACCAUCCAACGGUGAAUCCGAAAAUAUGUUCUCGAUUGCUUUUGAGUAUGAAAUUCGACUGAUGUAAUACUAUUUGUUUCUCUGUAGGGAAUCCGUCGUGUUGUAUAUUUUCGGCUACAUUCCCAGAUGAAGUAGAAGCGCUGGCUGCGACGUACAUGGAAGACUACAUAUUCGUCACAACAGGCAUUGUCGGUGGCACCAAUCCGGAUGUUGAACAGUGGUUUUUUCAGUGCUCGAAAAGAGAUAAGAGAGUUAAGCUGAUCGAAGUUUUACACGAUCUCGGUGAUGCCAAGACUAUCGUUUUUGUCGACAGCAAAAAGACGGCGGAUUUCGCCGCUGCAUUCUCGUGCAAUAACAACUUACAAUCUACCAGCAUCCAUGGUGAGCGUAAACGAAAAUCGUAAAUGUCUCUUCCGAAGCGUCUGUCAGAAGAAUAUGCUAGCAAUCAACUCACGAAUCAUGUAAGAUGAACAAUAAAAGCCGAUGUCGAGGUGACAAAGAAAACAACACGUCAAGGUGCUGUCAAACGUGUCUCCGUUCCGGAGAAGGAAGCGCCGGAAGGCAAAAGGCGUCGUGGUGAAACGAAAGCCAAUAAAUACGUUGCUGGAUUGGAUGAUGUAGAAAUGUUACACGAAGACAAAGGACACGCUGCCGACAUCCACGCCAAUCACGGGCCAGAUGAGCCAGAGGCGAACAAUGGAUCGCCAGUCACAUCCGUCAAAAGUGGACGAUCUACUCGCGCAAAGGGCGCACUCAAAGUUCAUUUUGACGUGGCCGAAACGGCGCAUCCGCCAGUCAGAUCCACCCGUUCGGCGCGGAAGACGGCUUCACCGGCCGAGAAGAAAGUCUCUGUCCAGCUGGAACGCGACCCCGACAUUGAGACUUUGGCCACUACAGCCAAAGAAGAGGAAGAGAAAGCACCGGCCGCCAAACGUUCACGACAAAAGAAGGGCCCGACAGUAUCUGCCGCAACAAUGGCGGAUGAACCUCCGGCCGUGCCGGCCACGAAACGGACACGUGAUGGCAAGAAAACAACUAGCGAACCUGAGCUUGUUAAGGAGGAUACCUCAUCGCCACCACCACCACCUCGACGUACUCGACGUACUAGAAACAUCUAACAGCAAGACCCAUCAAUGAAUUACCUAUUUUGUUUUUCUUUUGUUUUACCCAUAAUUUUUUACCCAUUGAAUAAUUUGUUCACAUAUCAGAUUCUAUUCUGCUUUUGGGUUCACUUCUGUACCUCUUUCCCCAAGUUGACCUCAUUACGUGUUCCUAUCCAUGCGUUGAGGCUCACUUGAUUAUAAUUUUUUGUUCUUUAAAUUUUGUGUCCAAUUUUCAUUCUGACCGACGCCCAAAUAAUUUUGAAGAAAUACAGAUUUUGGUACGGUUGGUUAAGUAUUUCACAAUUUGCACGGAUUGUGUGUGUGUGUGUUACUGAUGUUGGUGGACCUA